rnacentral:lncRNA from 1 species
UCGUCGCUGAACUUGCACUCCAGAUAUUCUGUCUUAGAUCUGCUUAUUUUGAAACCUUUAGGAUCGAGGGUCUGUCUCCAUACCUCUAACCUUUCACUAACACCGGCGCUCGUCUUGUCUAUCAAUAUUAUAUCAUCAGCAAAGAGCAUACACCAAGGCACAUCCCCUUGGAUAUGACGGGUUAGAGCAUCUAUCACUAAGGCGAACNNNN